AGUGAAAUCUAAUUGUCCAGGUGAGAAAAUGUUAGUGUGGUAGGUAUAAGUGAUGCACCAGAAGAUGGCAACCGGCAUUGAGAAGCAAAGGAACUUCACGUGGCCUCUUUGGCUUCAGCUCCGUGCAUCCUAUAGACCUGUUGCCAUGAAGAAGUGGAUCACUUCUCAUCUGAAAAUAAGAUGGAGUCCUUGUCCACUUCACAUCAAUUUCCUAAGGACUAACAAACUGAAGAGACAUUUCAUACUUGAGAAGAAUGCUAGAAUGUAAACUUGCCUCAGAUACAAGUGGUGAACACAAUGCUGUACAAGGAAAGUUCUACACUUUAAGACCUAUGUUCUUUCUAAUAUGAUGUUACAACAUCAAAUAACAUGUUAGUCACCUACAGAGGGAAACUUCAGUUUAUUCAAAUUGCAAAACGUUAUACUAUAAUAAGCUUUUCAAUGUCAGCAAGACUACUACACCUUUUUCCCAGUACUCCUAGGCACAAGGAGGGAGAUCACUGUUAAGUUUGAGGCCAGCCUGAUUUACAUAGCAAGUUCCAAGUUAGCCAGAGCUACAUAGUAAACCCCUCUCCUGACUCAAAAAAAAAAAAAAAAA
rnacentral:lncRNA from 1 species